GGAUUGCUCAAUCAGUAGAACAUUAGACUCUUAAUCUCAGGGUUGUGGGUUUGAGUCCCAGGUUGGACA